GCUGGCGGCGUGCUUAACACAUGCAAGUCGAGUGCGCGUUUCCGUAGCAAUACGGAAAUGGCGCACGGCGCACGGGUGCGUAACACGUGGGUAAUCUGCCCUUCGAUGGGGAAUAACUCGCCGAAAGGCGAGCUAAUUCCGCAUAACAUUCCUUGGACUCCGGUUCGAGGAUUCAAAGGCGUAAGUCGUCGGAGGUGGAGCCCGCGCACGAUUAGCUAGUUGGUGAGGUAAUGGCUCACCAAGGCUAUGAUCGUUAGCUGGUCUGAGAGGAUGGCCAGCCACACUGGAACUGAGACACGGUCCAGACUCCUACGGGAGGCAGCAGUGGGGAAUCUUGCACAAUGGGCGAAAGCCUGAUGCAGCGACGCCGCGUGGGGGAUGAAGCUUCUCGGAGUGUAAACCCCUUUCGACCGGGACGAAUACCUCGCAAGAGGGGUGACGGUACCGGUAUAAGAAGCCCCGG
rnacentral:rRNA from 1 species